UUAUUUAAAUGGGCAUCUAUGAGAAAACCAUGCAGAUGGUGCUCCAUGCAAAGUUGUUUGAUUUUGAUGAAACUUUGCUGACAUGUUCAGGUUGACCUCAUAUGAAAGUCAUGCAAGUUUGAAGCCCUUACACUGCUGGUAACCAUGGCAACGAUAGGGAUUUAGGGUAUUUUCGAGUUUAUUUAUAGAUGCAUUUACUGAAAUGCAUAGAUUUCAUAAAUUUCUCAAAUAGAAAUAAAUACUAUAAUACUUCUGAGUGUUUAAAUACUUUAAUAGCACAGAUAGGAUGUGUAUGAAGUAUAAAUCACAUAAUUUUAUUAAACAUAAUGAUAUAUAUAGAAAAUAAGGGUGUGGCAAAACACAUAAAAUGAUAAAAAAUAUGGCCUUUUCAUCUAAUCACACUAAAACAGACACUACAGCCCAAAAGUCGCUUUAAUUUACCCUAAAUUUCAGAAAUGCUUUGCAUUUUCUUUGGUUCAAAAUAUUUUGAAGGGAUUUCGGUUGCAAAUUAAUUUUAUAGAUUUUAUUGAUCAUUUAGAUAGCCUCCCCCCCUUUUUUUGUAUUUUCGCAAUAAAUUGAGGAAAGUCUCAUAUUUUAAUGAAACCAAGCAUUCAAAAAUAAAUACUUGAAUUAUACAGAUUGUAACAUGCAAUAUAGGUAAAUCAAAUAGAAAAUUCAAAGUGAAAUGGAUUUUUGUGUCACAAACAAUAGUAAGCAUAAGGCUUAAAAAAAGGGGGGGGGGGAGCUGCCAAAGACAAUUUUUUUUUGGUAUUUUUUUUUAUUCCAAAUUCCUUUAGUACACUUGUCCCUAUUACUUUAAAGAGUAAAAUCCAUUCAUUUCUUCCUAGUAAUCCCAUUUUUGGUUAUUGCAGCUUGCUAAUUACUAAAGUUGUAUUCUGGUUACUGAAAAAUGAUAUGAAAUUCAAUGUCAAGUUCAUCAUAUUGAAAAAUCUUAAGUAUUGACAUUCAGAAGUUGUGUCUGACAGGUAAACAAAAUUAAGACAGGUUGCAACCUUUUACUUGCAUGCUGGUUACCAUAUAAGUCAUUUUGAUCAUGAGUACCUGAGACAGUGUGGAUAAAAUCUGAAUUUCUAUUGUACAAAGGGAGAUAAUCCAAUAAAAAUGCUGAUUUUUAAAACCUUAAAAUUGCAUGUACAUAUUAAUUUAAACUAACAUACACUUCAUCAAUUUAAUAAAAUAUAAACAUAUCUCUAUUUGGUUAUCUGGAGAGAGAGUUAAUAGUGCAUUUGAGCAUAUACUCUUGGUUUGCUUUUGUUGUAGUACUUUCUAAAAUUCUCCUAAAAAAAGGUCUAAAUUUAUAAAUUCUCUUUUAGCAUUGAUACAUUUUUAAAUAUCUCAAUCUGUAUAAAUGAUCAUAAAUGUUAUUAUUUUUUAUAGCAUUAGUAUUAUAUUUAACAAUCAAUGAAGAUGAUACAAUAACACUAAAUGGUGCUUACAUGCAAGAAUAAGAUUAUUAUAAACAUACAUAAAAGUUAAUUCUAAUUGACUUAGCAGCACAAGACAAUUGUUGCAUUAGGUAUAGAAUUUAGGGAAGUAUUAAAUUGUUUCCAUACUAUCUUAUAAGAAUUUACAUACAUGUAACUACAUGAACUAUGAAAGGUAAUUUACUAAUAAUUCAAUGAAUAAAACUAGUUAGUCAAUCUAAGAAACAAUUUCUGACAAAUGAAAAUAUUAUUAUGUUUAUCAAAUGGCCAAGUACAUUCGUAAUCUUCUUGAUU
rnacentral:lncRNA from 1 species